rnacentral:rRNA from 1 species
GAUGAACGCUGGCGGCGUGCCUAGUACAUGCAAGUCGAGCGAACGGACGAGAAGCUUGCUUCUCUGAUGUUAGCGGCGGACGGGUGAGUAACACGUGGAUAACCUACCUAUAAGACUGGGAUAACUUCGGGAAACCGGAGCUAAUACCGGAUAAUAUUUUGAACCGCAUGGUUCAAAAGUGAAAGACGGUCUUGCUGGCACUUAUAGAUGGAUCCGCGCUGCAUUAGCUAGUUGGUAAGGUAACGGCUUACCAAGGCAACGAUGCAUAGCCGACCUGAGAGGGUGAUCGGCCACACUGGAACUGAGACACGGUCCAGACUCCUACGGGAGGCAGCAGUAGGGAAUCUUACGCAAAGGGCGAAAGCCUGACGGAGCAACGCCGCGUGAGUGAUGAAGGUCUUCGGAUCGUAAAACUCUGUUAUUAGUGAAGAACAGAUGUGUAAGUAACUGUGCACAUCUUGACGGUACCUAAUCAGAAAGCCCCGGCUAACUACGUG